ensembl:misc_RNA Metazoa_SRP Metazoan signal recognition particle RNA
GCCGGGCGUGGUGGCGCGCACCUGUAAUCCCAGCUACUCGGGAGGCUGAGGCAGGAGAAUCGCUUGAACCCAGGAGGUGGAGAUUGCCGAGAUCACGCCACUGCACUCCAGCCUGGGUGAGAGAGCGAGAUUCAGUCUCCA